rnacentral:rRNA from 1 species
GUUUAAUUUUCGAUGCAACGCGAAGAACCUUACCACUUCUUGACAUGGAGGUUAGAUCCUUCUUAACAGAAGGGCGCAGUUCGGCUGGGUCUCGCACAGGUGCUGCAUGGCUGUCGUCAGCUCGUGUCGUGAGAUGUUGGGUUAAGUCCCGCAACGAGCGCAACCCUCAUCCUUAGUUGCCAGCGGGUAAUGCCGGGCACUUUAAGGAAACUGCCAGUGAUAAACUGGAGGAAGGUGGGGAUGAUGUCAAGUCAGCACGGCCCUUAUGGGGUGGGCUACACACGUGCUACAAUGGUGACUACAAUAGGUUGCAACGUCGCAAGGCUGAGCUAAUCCGUAAAAGUCAUCUCAGUUCGGAUUGUCCUCUGUAACUCGAGGGCAUGAAGUCGGAAUCGCUAGUAAUCGUGGAUCAGCAUGCCACGGUUGAAUAC